rnacentral:rRNA from 1 species
AACGAACGCUGGCGGCAUGCCUAACACAUGCAAGUCGAACGACACCUUCGGGUGUAGUGGCGCACGGGGGCGUAAAGCGUGGGAACCGGCCCUUAGGCUCGGAAUAACUCUCCGAAAGGGGGGCUAAUACCGGAUAAUGUCCUCGGACCCAAGAUAUAUCGCAUUGGGAUGGGCCCGCGUUGGAUUAGCCAGUUGGUAUGGUAAAAGCCUACCAAGGCUACGAUCCAUAGCUGGUCUGAGAGGAUGAUCAGCGACACUGGGACUGGGACACGGCCGAGACUCUUACGGGAGGCAGCAGUGGGGAAUAUUGGAAUAUGGGCGAAAGCCUGAUCCAGCAAGGCCGCGUGAGUGAUGAUGGCCUUAGGGUUGUAAAGCUCUUUUACCCGGGAUGAUAAUGACAGUACCGGGAGAAUAAGCUCCGGCUAACUCCGUG